rnacentral:rRNA from 1 species
UACGGAGGAUCCAAGCGUUAUCCGGAUUCAUUGGGUUUAAAGGGUGCGUAGGCGGAAUGAUAAGUCAGUGGUGAAAUCUCUUCGCUUAACGAAGAAACUGCCAUUGAUACUGUCAAUCUUGAGUACAUUUGAUGUGGGCGGAAUGUGCCAUGUAGCGGUGAAAUGCUUAGAUAUGACACAGAACACCGAUUGCGAAGGCAGCUCACAAAAACUGUAACUGACGCUGAGGCACGAAAGCGUGGGUAUCAAACAGG